rnacentral:tRNA from 1 species
GCCUGGGUGGCUUAGUCGGUUGAGCAUCUGACUUCAGCUCAGGUCACGAUCUCACAGUCUGUGAGUUCGAGCCCCGCGUCGGGCU